GACGAACGCUGGCGGCGUGCUUAACACAUGCAAGUCGAACGGAAAGGCCCUGCUUUUGUGGGGUGCUCGAGUGGCGAAAGGGUGAGUAACACGUGAGUAAACUGCCCUUGACUUUGGGAUAACUUCAGGAAACUGGGGCUAAUACCGGAUAGGAGCUCCUGCUGCAUGGUGGGGGUUGGAAAGUUUCGGCGGUUGGGGAUGGACUCGCGGCUUAUCAGCUUGUUGGUGGGGUAGUGGCUUACCAAGGCUUUGACGGGUAGCCGGCCUGAGAGGGUGACCGGCCACAUUGGGACUGAGAUACGGCCCAGACUCCUACGGGAGGCAGCAGUGGGGAAUAUUGCACAAUGGGCUGAAGCCUGAUGCAGCAACGCCGCGCGCGGGAUGACGGCCUUCGGGUUGUAAACCGCUUUCGCCUGUGACGAAGCGUGAGUGACGGUAAUGGGUAAAGAAGCACCGGCUAACUACGUG
rnacentral:rRNA from 1 species